GCCGAUGUAGCUCAGUUGGCCAGAGCUACUGAUUUGUAAUCAGUGGGUCGGGGGUUCGAAUCCCUCCAUCGGCU
rnacentral:tRNA from 5 species